GGACACAUGCCAGAUUAGAUUCAAGGUAACCUGUGGCCGGUGUUGCUGGACUCCUCUACAGUGGUGCCGACAUGUCCCUGGUCAUCACACUUCAGAAUGGGAACCAGCAGCAGGACAGGUCAUGUGUACAGGCUUGAUUAUGUGUAUUAAAAAAACACAAGGGAGUUGUUGUUUGUUGUUUUUUGAAUAGCACAAAAUGGCACAUUUUAGUAUUAGUCGGUGAAUCAGAUGGCUGAUACUGUAACUUAUAUUCGUUGGCAGUUGGUGUACUCAUUUGACCGUAUAGAAAUCAGUAAGUGAUCUCUGGGGCAUCUCGGGAGGACAGUUGGGUUGUGUCCCACAUUUCUGCUGCUUUGUGUUGUGUAAUCCUCUCCAGCGGCACUGACGCGCACUCCGGACCUCACGAGCCGGGUCGGCUCCAUCGUCCUCUGCUGUGCUGCCUGACAGACCGUGAUGGAUGCAUGGCGCCGUCCCUGAUGACCAGAGCCCGAGAAGGAGAGGAUCCACGUCCCAUGUGUUUCCCCCACUGAGAGGCGACUUCUGAUGCUUUUGCGCGUCAGUGAAAAUGCGCUGUCACUGCCGCUUUGUGGACAGUGUCAAUGCGAACAGGAAGGCAUUUCACAGCUGGCGUUUUGAGUCCAAAAUCAUUUUUCUGUUGCAUUUCUUCCUAUUUCAAAUAUGCACCUUUUCUCAGCUGUAAGUAAUACUGAUGAAGCUAAAUUCACUCCCACUAUCAUUACUUUGUUUGGCUGAUUUAAAAACACGGAAGUAUUUAACGCCGUGCGUUUCACUGACCUCUUUGAUCCAUUACUUCGGUUACUGCAUCAAACAUUCUGGCUUCUUUUCCCUGUAUCGGACACUUUAAAUGAACCAGAAAUGAUCCUGUAACGUGUUAACUUUUCUCCAAAGCCAAAACGUUAUCGGUGCCAGAUCCAGGACGAGAAAGCUUUUGAUAUUUUUAGCCUGUAACAUAAAAAAAUAAUCUGCUUAUCUGAUUAAGAAAGACUAGUUUUCUCACAUUUUGACAAUGUGUAAUUCACACAUUAUGUUCUUUGUUUGUCUUGAUACUUUUAUGGUUUGACGGUACUCAGUGUAUUUUUACUGAAGCGUGUGGGCAGGUGUGUGCCGGCGUGAGAGCAUGUGUUUGUGUGCAUGUGCUCUAUUUGUGUGUGUGUGUGUGUGUGUGUGUGUGUGUGUUUAUUCCUGUAUAUCUGCAUGUGUCUCUAUGAAAACACACUUUUGUAAUUGGCCUGAAGCUUCGAGCUGCUUUUCAGUGGAUUUGUUUUUCUCUCUUCCUAUACCACACUGAAUGUACCAGACAAAGGAUUAAAACAUAUUUACAAAUGAUUCUUAGCAUUUGUUAGGACCCCAUUGAAGCAGUUUGGUGGGGGUUCCUGUGAUCUAGACAGUUACAGGAAUCAGGCUGGAAAUGAAUGGUGUGUAGUUUUCUAAACGAUGCCUGCUAGCAUCAAUUAAACCGUUCCAAAGCUUAACGCCCCAUCAUCCAAUACUGCAGCAAAUGCUAAUUAUUAUGUGCAAAUAGCUUUUUACCGAGAUCUGGGUUCUACUAACAAUACCUGACUAAUAUCUAACAAUACUAAUGUCUGCUAACAGUCUGAUGAUUACUAACCUGUUCUCCGAAUGCUGAUGGCUGGCUUUGUUCUUUCUAACCCCCUGACUAACCCUCUGCUUUAUGCCCGCAGUCCAAUGCAAACACGCCUCUCUCAUGAUCCCGCAAUCCUUCUUGUAGAAAGCCUAGACCAAGAUGCAUUAUUAAAAUAAAAUAAUCAAUAAAAACGGUUAAAAAAUAAAAAAGUGAACAAGUCAAGAAGGGUUUCAGGACUUGGGAGGGUAAAUGUUAUUAACCACUAGAUUGAAAGAGGAGGAUAAUCAGCUGCUGAUAUCCAACUGGUUUGACCACAUACUUCAGAAUCCUCAUAAAACCGAUCAUGAUCUGAUCGUAAAAUAAUAUCACGUCACCGUGUCUCAAAUCACAGGCUUUAAAAUUCCCAUCUUAAGAGACCGUCUUUCUGUCUCGACCUAUGUGGUCAACCCUUGCAGAUGAGUGCCUGGCUGCUUGUCAGCUCAGACCAAGCAAACCUCAACUCCACCACUAACUUAUUAUGGUAUUGAUACUAACCUUGGUGAGGCUGUAAACACCCACCCUACUGCUGUUACUAACAUCUGCGUUCCUUCUGACUGAAACAUCCUGAUGUGUGUAAUCAAAUCAUCCCGUCUCUUUGUUCUUCUUUAAUCAAAUACACGAGCAUGCCUUGUGGCACUAGUGAUGCUUAUUAAAUUACAGUAGAUGGAAGUUUUUUAUUCCAAACAUCUUUUAGUGCCAUGAGUGAGGAUGCUUGUUAGGAGUCCUGUUGCUCCAGCAGGGUCAGUGACCUGCUCGCCGGAAGUCCUUAUAAACAACCUACUAACGUCUGCUAAAGAUAAAUCAACUUCGACUAACGAAACAAUUUUAAUAUCUAUCUGCAAACUAACAAACUAACCCACUAAUGAACUAAUAAUCUAACAAUCACUAAAUAACUAACUUUGUGCUGAGUGGCAGAAUUAAUAAGCACGUUUUGAGGAGUUGCAUCACCUUUUGAAAUGUGCUAACAUAUUUUAGUUUUUAAAGAACAACUUAUUCAUGUGCCUUCUGUAAUUGUGUGUAUGUGUGUGAGAAAAAGAGCACGCAGUGUGUUUGUUAUCGCUCUCAGCCAAUGCAUUCAACAUACCAAUGAAGGUAUAUCCAUAGAGAUGUUUUAGCCAAAUGCAUCCAGUCACUGACUUCUCUUGUAGUACUACUGAGCACCGAGUUACAUACACCCAAACAAUACGCUG
ensembl:lncRNA